rnacentral:rRNA from 1 species
CCCUUAGAUGUCCUGGGCCGCACGCGUGCUACACUGACGCAUACAGCGAGCACUUUCCAGUUCCGAGAGGCUACUGGUAAUCAUCAAUAUGCGUCGUGAUGGGGAUAGAUCUUUGGAAUUCUGGAUCUUGAACGGGGAAUGCCUAGUAAUCGCAGGUCAUUAGCCUGCGAUGAUUAAGUCCCUGCCCUUUGUACACACCGCCCGUCGCUACUACCGAUUUCGAGUGGUCAGGUGAAUCUUUCGGACUGUGGGCGCCCUUGAGGUGUUCGCGGAAAGUCAGGUAAAUCUUAUCACUUAGAGGAAGUAAAAGUCGUAACA